rnacentral:rRNA from 1 species
GACGUAGGGUGCGAGCGUUGUCCGGAAUUAUUGGGCGUAAAGAGCUCGUAGGCGGUUUGUCGCGUCUGCUGUGAAAACUCGGGGCUUAACUCCGGGCCUGCAGUGGGUACGGGCAGACUAGAGGUAUGCAGGGGGAGAAUGGAAUUCCUGGUGUAGCGGUGAAAUGCGCAGAUAUCAGGAGGAACACCGGUGGCGAAGGCGGUUCUCUGGGCAUUACCUGACGCUGAGGAGCGAAAGUGUGGGGAGCGAACAGG